rnacentral:rRNA from 1 species
CCUACGGGUGGCAGCAGUGGGGAAUAUUGCACAAUGGGGGAAACCCUGAUGCAGCGACGCCGCGUGAGUGAAGAAGUAUUUCGGUAUGUAAAGCUCUAUUAGCAGGGGAGAAAAUGACGGUACCUGACUAAGAAGCUCCGGCUAAAUACGUGCCAGCAGCCGCGGUAAUACGUAGGGGGCAAGCGUUAUCCGGAUUUACUGGGUGUAAAGGGAGUGUAGACGGCAGCGCAAGUCUGGAGUGAAAUCCCAUGGCUUAACCAUGGAACUGCUUUGGAAACUGUGCAUCUUGAGUGCAGGAGAGGUAAGCGGAAGUCCUGGUGUAGCGGUGAAAUGCGUAGAUAUUAGGAGGAACACCAGUGGCGAAGGCGGCUUACUGGACUGUAACUGACGUUGAGGCUCGAAAGCGUGGGGAGCAAACAGGAUUAGAUACCCGAGUAGUC